AUUGACAGAAGAAAAAAAAACUGAAAA
rnacentral:sRNA from 1 species